CUAUUAAAUUUGUUAAUUGUCAGUUCUGGCUUUUUUGCAUAAAGAGUUGGUCCAUUAACUUGCCAAUUUGAAGCUUCUAACUAGAUAUUCCCUACUGAAAGUUUUGGAUUUGUUUUUAGUUUGUGGAGCAGUCUUAGCUGGGGACAGGUAAUUGACAACGGCAGAGAUACUUUUCCUAGGAUUCUAAGUCUGUAAUCCACAUCCUCAAUGUAUUCACAGGACUUUAAAAUUCUCUCCAAAUGAGGAAGGAAAUAUCCUGUUGCUUUCUAAUGUUUACUAAAAGUUGUGUUUAGAACAACAGAUUUUAAUAGGCAUCUUCCUUUGUUAUGUGUCAUAGCCCUUUGCCCGUUUACCUUAGGGCUCUUUGAAGGAGAAAUGGAUGGGAGAAAACCUGUCACUUGGCGAAAGUAAAAGGGAUAAUUAACUGGCUCAGAGCUUAUGUGCAGAGUUCCAAGCCCCAAAGUUAAUCUAGAACUACUCGAUAACACCAAUAAAAAUAUUUAUUUCACAUCUGUUAUAUAUCUGGAAAAUGUUCUAAGCAUCUUACAUAUAUUUUUCAUUAAAUCCACAGGUGACCAUUGUGAGGUAGAUAUUUUGUUCUAAUUUUCCAGAUGAGGAAGCUGAGACCCUAAAAGGUUAGGUGACAGGUUAUACAACUUGGAGUGUGGGAGGAGGAGAGAGGAACCUGAACAGGGCAAGUUGGGGAUCUGACUUUUGUUUGGGUAGAUGUAGGCACAUUGUAUUUUUGGCUUAGAUGCUUUAUUCAUCAUGGCUGAAGGUAAUACCAUUUACUCACUCACCGAAAAUUGUUUACAAUAAUCUAGAUGAAUUUGCUAUCUUUGGACAUCUGUCUUUUGACUGGACCCCAGUAUAUAGUCUGUGGAAGCUCACUUAAGGAGAGAGCUCCUUUUUGUUUGGUUAGAGAAAUUUUCUGUCCUAAAAGUAGAAAUAGCCCCUUCUAGGUAAGGAUGGAGCAUUUGAUCAUACUGGUUUCAUUAUAUUCCUCUAACAGUUGGAACCGAUUGUUUUUGAGUACUUGUUUCAAACUUCUGAGUAUUUUCCUUCUGGAAAAUAGCUCAGUGUUUAAAAUUUACAUGAACUUAAAAGGUUAAUCUUUUUAAAAAAAAGUUUGAGGAGCAAUCAAUUCUGAUUUUGUCUUAUGGAUAGAAAUAGAAUUAGCCAUUUUCCUCAAGAAAAGUGAUUCUUCUGAAUCUUAGCUCUUCAGUAAUGAGAACUGGACUGUUUCCACUUGACCCUCUAUUUCCUGUUAGUGGGAAACCGCUUCCCAGAGGUGCUGUGUGAAAGAUUGCUGGGGAAAGGGUUUCUAGAUCCCAGCAUAACAAGUUCAAAAGAGUCCAGCGAUAUUGUCAUUUAGAAUAAUGGUCUUCAUUAAGUACUAGUUUUCAUAAUCCUGAAGCUUCAUUUUCACCAAUUUGAAAGGCAGCUAGGGAGGAGAAGACUAUGCAGGGAAGGAGGAAAACUCUGGAGUGCAUCACAGAGACCUUGAGUGAGUUAAGGCAGGGAAGAAGCAGAUUUGCUAUCCACUGAAUGAAAAUAAAAAGAAUUCCAUUGUCCAAGGUCAGAGCAAGAACACAAAGGUUUUAGUUUACUUAGUUAAUUCCUUAGGUUUGGACAUUACAGGAGACAUGGGGGUGACCAUAGCAAUUUAGCUGAUAAAUGUAUCAGAAACUCAUCAUUUUCUGUCCCCUCCUAUCUUAGGCUGACCGGUUCCCUGAUGUGUUACCUGCUUCUGCUACUGAUCCAAACUGCAGAACUUCUCAUUCAUCCCCAAGGCCUCCAGGCAGUAUCCAAUGGGGAAUCAGCUCUAAAAGGAACCAGACCAACGUUUUCCAGCCCCUUCAUUCUGGUGACUGAGGGGAGGAAAGAAUGGGAGGGGGUAUUCUUGUCUAGUGGAUGGAAAGGAAACACACUGUCAAAUUACUGUAUCUCCUUGGUUUUCUAUUACAGUAGAAUUCUCCAGCCAUAUUUUUAUUGUCUAUGGGGGAAGUUGGAGAUGGUGACCUUGAUUAGAAGUGUCUGGAGGGGGAUAAAUGGAGGGGAUAAGAUUCAGUUGGUUUUGGAAAAUGUUAAAGUCUUAAAAUAAUGCGUCCAUCUGAAGAAUUUUUUCUAAAACCAGAGUUUAUAAAAAUAUCACUGAUACAGCCUGCCCCCUCAUUUCCCUGCCACAGGAGAUGUCUUGGACUAGAGACACUUGUUUAAUAAUAGCUUGUCUCUGAUAUUCCCAGUAGCUUCCCUCUGUGUGAGGAAAGGAUAGAAAUGUUCAGGACAUCAUCAUACAGGCUCCUCAUCUACAAAGUUCCAGUAGCAGUGACGCCUACACGGAAGACUUGGAACUGCAAACAGGCUGGGGUCACCUCAGUGACAUCUGACGCUGUCCAACCAGAAGUUCGAUUUUUGUUCUGGGGGUGAAGGAGGAAACAGACUGUACUAAAGGACUAAAAUAAUUUCUUGUCUAUACU
rnacentral:lncRNA from 1 species